CGCGUCAGGAGGCGGAAGGCAGCAGGCGGAAGGAGGCCACCAGGGGGAUGUGGU
rnacentral:SRP_RNA from 14 species